GGCGCCGUGGUGUAAUUGGUAACACAUCCACACGGACGGGUGUUCUUGUUUGAGUACCUAUCCUUAUUUCCUUACCCGUUCCGUGUGGAGGCAUGCAGCGUUCGAGUCCUGCCGGCGCCA